rnacentral:rRNA from 1 species
CGAAUGCUGACAUAAGUAACGAUAAAGCGGGUGAAAAGCCCGCUCGCCGGAAGACCAAGGGUUCCUGUCCAACGUUAAUCGGGGCAGGGUGAGUCGACCCCUAAGGCGAGGCCGAAAGGCGUAGUCGAUGGGAAACAGGUUAAUAUUCCUGUACUUGGUGUUACUGCGAAGGGGGGACGGAGAAGGCUAUGUUGGCCGGGCGACGGUUGUCCCGGUUUAAGCGUGUAGGCUGGUUUUCCAGGCAAAUCCGGAAAAUCAAGGCUGAGGCGUGAUGACGAGGCACUACGGUGCUGAAGCAACAAAUGCCCUGCUUCCAGGAAAAGCCUCUAAGCAUCAGGUAACAUCAAAUCGUACCCCAAACCGACACAGGUGGUCAGGUAGAGAAUACCAAGGCGCUUGAGAGAACUCGGGUGAAGGAACUAGGCAAAAUGGUGCCGUAACUUCGGGAGAAGGCACGCUGAUAUGUAGGUGAAGUCCCUCGCGGAUGGAGCUGAAAUCAGUCGAAGAUACCAGCUGGCUGCAACUGUUUAUUAAAAACACAGCACUGUGCAAACACGAAAGUGGACGUAUACGGUGUGACGCCUGCCCGGUGCCGGAAGGUUAAUUGAUGGGGUCAGCGCAAGCGAAGCUCUUGAUCGAAGCCCCGGUAAACGGCGGCCGUAACUAUAACGGUCCUAAGGUAGCGAAAUUCCUUGUCGGGUAAGUUCCGACCUGCACGAAUGGCGUAAUGAUGGCCAGGCUGUCUCCACCCGAGACUCAGUGAAAUUGAACUCGCUGUGAAGAUGCAGUGUACCCGCGGCAAGACGGAAAGACCCCGUGAACCUUUACUAUAGCUUGACACUGAACAUUGAGCCUUGAUGUGUAGGAUAGGUGGGAGGCUUGGAAGUGUGGACGCCAGUCUGCAUGGAGCCGACCUUGAAAUACCACCCUUUAAUGUUUGAUGUUCUAACGUUGACCCGUAAUCCGGGUUGCGGACAGUGUCUGGUGGGUAGUUUGACUGGGGCGGUCUCCUCCUAAAGAGUAACGGAGGAGCACGAAGGUUGGCUAAUCCUGGUCGGACAUCAGGAGGUUAGUGCAAUGGCAUAAGCCAGCUUGACUGCGAGCGUGACGGCGCGAGCAGGUGCGAAAGCAGGUCAUAGUGAUCCGGUGGUUCUGAAUGGAAGGGCCAUCGCUCAACGGAUAAAAGGUACUCCGGGGAUAACAGGCUGAUACCGCCCAAGAGUUCAUAUCGACGGCGGUGUUUGGCACCUCGAUGUCGGCUCAUCACAUCCUGGGGCUGAAGUAGGUCCCAAGGGUAUGGCUGUUCGCCAUUUAAAGUGGUACGCGAGCUGGGUUUAGAACGUCGUGAGACAGUUCGGUCCCUA